CAUUCACGGAGAGUUUGAUCCUGGCUCAGGACGAACGCUGGCGGCGUGCUUAACACAUGCAAGUCGAACGAUGAACCGCUUUCGGGCGGGGAUUAGUGGCGAACGGGUGAGUAACACGUGGGCAAUCUGCCCUGCACUCUGGGACAAGCCCUGGAAACGGGGUCUAAUACCGGAUAUGACUGUCCAUCGCAU
rnacentral:rRNA from 1 species